GCCGCCUCGAGGGCUUCCCGGGUUUCAAACUGCGCCUCUUGGGAGUCACGGGGCGCAUUCGCUCCUUUCGUUUCCGGGGUGGGGGCUAAAGGACAGAAAAAUGUCUCCUUGCACGAGCCUCCCGCGCUCCAGCCCUCGGCCUGGAGGGUCGCCCUGGGAGGAGCCCACGCGGCCCCGGGUCCCUCUCUGCCGCGCCGAGUCCUCACCCCGCAGGGGGCUGGGGCGGGUGCCCGGGAGGGCGAGAGCUUCAAACCACUCCGGGCACUGCCGCUCGGCCCGCUGCGCCCGCAGAGGACGCGGGGAGAACCGACGAACACUCACCGAGCAGCGGCCGCCCGGCUGGAUCCAGAACGCACGGCGCGCGAAGCCACCCAGAUAUAAAUCCAAACCUCCGAGAAGCUGACAAGAAAGAGAUGAAGAAGCCGAUAACUUGGAGGGAGUCCACCACGAGACUGUUAGGUGGGAGAAGCAAGAGGCAGAAGCCCGUGUAAAUAAAGGACCCAUUUUGGUAAAACGAA